UCGCUAAAUUCCUGCCUGCUUUGUUUCCUUGUGGAGGGGCUGGGGUUUUGUACAGGGAGGCUGGAGUUUUGUACAGGUGGGUGGAGAGGCUGGGGUUUUGUCCAGGGAGGUUGGGGUUUUGUACAUGGGGGCUACCGAGGUUUUGUAAAAAAGGGAUGGAGGGAGCUGGGGUUUUGUACAGGGAGGCUGGAGUUUUGUACAGGGAGGCUGGAGGG